rnacentral:tRNA from 1 species
GGAUGUAGCUUAGCUGGUUAAAGCGCCAGAUUGUGGCUCUGGAGACCGUGGGUUCGAGUCCCAUCUUC